rnacentral:rRNA from 3 species
GGCGAUCAGAUACCGCCCUAGUUCUGACCGUAAACGAUGCCAACUAGCGAUCCGCCGAUGGAAACACAAAUUGCCAUGGUGGGGAGCUUCCCGGAAACGAAAGUCUUCCGGUUCCGGGGGAAGUAUGGUUGCAAAGCUGAAACUUAAAGGAAUUGACGGAAGGGCACCACCAGGAGUGGAGCCUGCGGCUUAAUUUGACUCAACACGGGGAAACUCACCCGGCCCGGACACCGUAAGGAUUGACAGAUUGACAGCUUUUUCAUGAUUCGGUGGAUGGUGGUGCAUGGCCGUUCUUAGUUCGUGGAGCGAUCUGUCUGGUUUAUUCCGAUAACGAGCGAGACUCUGGCCUACUAACUAGUCCGCGCAUUGCCUCUGUGCCGUUGGACUUCUUAGAGGGAUUCGCGGUGUUCAGCCGCAAGAAAUGGAGCAAUAACAGGUCUGUGAUGCCCUUAGAUGUCCGGGGCUGCACGCGCGCUACACUGGCAGAAUCAGCUGGCUUGUCCUGCCCCGAAAGGGGCGGGUAAACCCGUGAAAAUCUGCCGUGAUUGGGAUCGGAAAUUGCAAUUAUUUUCCGUGAACGAGGAAUUCCAAGUAAGUGCGUGUCAUCAACACGCGUUGAUUACGUCCCUGCCCUUUGUA